rnacentral:rRNA from 1 species
GGCCAGCAGCCGCGGUAAUACAGAGGGGGCAAGCGUUGUUCGGAAUUACUGGGCGUAAAGGGCGCGUAGGCGGCCUUCUAAGUCGAACGUGAAAUCCCCGGGCUCAACCCGGGAACUGCGUCCGAUACUGGAAGGCUUGAAUCCGGGAGAGGGAUGCGGAAUUCCAGGUGUAGCGGUGAAAUGCGUAGAUAUCUGGAGGAACACCGGUGGCGAAGGCGGCAUCCUGGACCGGCAUUGACGCUGAGGCGCGAAAGCCAGGGGAGCAAACGGGAUUAGAUACCCCGGUAGUCCUGGCCCUAAACGAUGAAUGCUUGGUGUGGCGGGUAUCGAUCCCUGCCGUGCCGAAGCUAACGCAUUAAGCAUUCCGCCUGGGGAGUACGGUCGCAAGGCUGAAACUUAAAGGAAUUGGCGGGGGAU